AUGAGGUGAAUGGUUUGGCUUUGCUGUGUGGUCCUGUCAUGAUUUGUUGCCUCACCACAGGGCCGAAACAGUGGAGCUAAUUGGUCAUGGGUUGGAACCUCUGAGACUGUGAGCCAAAAUAAACCUUUUUUAUUGUCUCAUGGAUGACAGACCUUCCACACCACGCUCCUGGUCUGACUGUGAAGAGUGGGCAGUGUGCAGAAAGAGAUGGAGCACAGAGACAGGGAAGGACAAGAAGACAGACGGCCCUUGCUCUUUCCCUCUCCAGCUUCUCUUUGUAUGCCACCAGGAGCUUGGGAACAAUGCGUGUGAGACCAUUUGAGAGGACAGUAAAGCCCCAGAGAAGCAUCGUGCUUGCUGGUGCAAAGGUGGCCUGUGGAUCUGAGUUAAUCUCCUGAUCUCCACCUCUCCUGCAUCCUGCUCCCUCCAAGACUCCCAGUGGAUGCAUGAGACCACAGAGAGCAUUGAUUAUCAACAGUUUUCUCUGUCCAUUCAGACCCAUGAUGGUGCUUCAUUUAUAAAUGAAGCACAGGAAGAAUGUGCCUAAAGUUUUCUGAACAAUGAUAAAACAAAACAAUUA